rnacentral:tRNA from 1 species
GAGGACAUAGCUCAGUGGUAGAGUGUGUGCCUAGCAUGCAUGAGGUCCUGGGUUCAAUCCCCAGUUCCUCC